AUUGAACGCUGGCGGAAUGCUUUACACAUGCAAGUCGAACGGCAGCACGGGGGCAACCCUGGUGCGAGUGGCGAACGGGUGAGUAAUAUAUCGGAACGUGCCCGAUCGUGGGGGAUAACGUAGCGAAAGUUACGCUAAUACCGCAUACGAUCUACGGAUGAAAGCGGGGGACCGUAAGCCCUCGCGCGAACGGAGCGGCCGAUAUCAGAUUAGGUAGUUGGUGGGGUAAAGGCCCACCAAGCCAACGAUCCGUAGCUGGUUUGAGAGGACGACCAGCCCCACUGGGACUGAGACACGGCCCAGACUCCUACGGGAGGCAGCAGUGGGGAAUUUUGGAACAAUGGGCGAAAGCCUGAUCCAGCCAUUCCGCGUGCAGGACGAAGGCCUUCGGGUUGUAAACUGCUUUUGUACGGAACGAAAAGGUUUCCGCUUAAUACCCUGGGCCUUACGCAUACGUG
rnacentral:rRNA from 1 species